ACCUCUUUCGUAUAUAUCUCUCCAACUCAGCCUCAUACUGGGUCAAUAAUGGCGAUCUGAGGCCAUCUUAGGGUUCAUAUCCGUGGCAUCGAGCAAUGCAUGCGGUGAUCGAGCUUUGAUUCGAUCUAUUUUGGAUUCUGCUGCUGUUGAUCAUCUCGAGCUUUAAUUCGCUCUGCAUCAGCAGGAUAUAUAUAUAUAAAGUCAUCGUCCUUCCGACACAUCGUUGUUGUCCUUACCGGCGGCGAGACGUCAUCGUCAUCACCUUCGCUAAUCGUUGUCGCCUUCGCUAGCACAUGAUCAUUGUCACUUUUGUCAGCACUUCAUCGUCAUCCUGAUCACCGGAAUAAUUAUUUUUUCGACAAUUGGAAAGGCCGACUUCCAGGUCGAGACGGCCUGCCUUUGCGCUCGCCUUGAGGGGCCCUUACUGCCUCUCACUCGGUCCCACCCCAACUCUGUCUCUUCCUUUAAGUCCCUCGCCCCAUCAGAAAGAGGAGAGACCUCUCAAGUGUAGGUAAUUUAGAAAUACACCCCUCAACUUUUUAUUUAUUUUUUUAAAUCGAUAUCUUAUUUACUUUUAUUAUUUUACUGAUUAAUUAAUUUAGUAUUUUUCGUCUCAAUGAAAAAAAAAGGUUUAGGAGACGAAUUGGUAAAUGAUCUAAGGAUGAGGGGUCAUCAUACAUUUUUAUCUAAAAAAUAUACAACAACUUAUCUGUCAUAAAAGAUUCUACCAUAUAAUUCAUGAUAAAAAAAAUCCUCUUCCACUAUAAAUGAUUUUCGAGCAGAUCACUCAACUAUUAU